UACAGAGGGUGCGAGCGUUGCUCGGAAUCAUUGGGCGUAAAGCGCACGUAGGCGGUCUGUUAUGUCGGAUGUGAAAGCCCUUGGCUCAACUGAGGAAGUGCAUCCGAAACUGGCAGGCUAGAGUACUAAAGAGGGUCGCGGAAUUCCCGGUGUAGAGGUGAAAUUCGUAGAUAUCAGGAGGAACACCGGUGGCGAAGGCGG
rnacentral:rRNA from 1 species